GGGCCCGCACAAGCAGCGGAGCAUGUGGUUUAAUUCGAAGCAACGCGAAGAACCUUACCUAGACUUGACAUCUCCUGAAUAGCGUAGAGAUACGUGAAGCCCUUCGGGGCAGGAAGACAGGUGGUGCAUGGUUGUCGUCAGCUCGUGUCGUGAGAUGUUGGGUUAAGUCCCGCAACGAGCGCAACCCUUAUCAUUAGUUGCUACCAUUAAGUUGAGCACUCUAGUGAGACUGCCCGGGUUAACCGGGAGGAAGGUGGGGAUGACGUCAAAUCAUCAUGCCCCUUAUGUCUGGGGCUACACACGUGCUACAAUGGUAGGAACAAAGAGAUGCAAGACCGCAAGGUGGAGCCAAACUUCAAAACCUAUCCCAGUUCGGAUUGUAGGCUGAAACUCGCCUACAUGAAGCUGGAGUUGCUAGUAAUCGCGAAUCAGAAUGUCGCGGUGAAUACGUUCCCGGGCCUUGUACACACCGCCCGUCACACCAUGAGAGUCGGCAACACCCGAAGCCCGUGAGGUAACCUUUUGGAACCAGCGGUCGAAGGUGGGGUUGAUAAUUGGGGGUGAAGUCGUAACAAGGUAGCCGUAGGAGAACCUGCGGCUGGAUCAC
rnacentral:rRNA from 1 species